AUUCUAUCGGUAUAGCAACAGUUACUUGGUAACCAACAUGAACAUCAGAAGUGCAGCAACCACAUGCCAGCCACUGAACGAGAAAAACAAUGGGCAGUGGCUUCCGCGGUGAUGAGCUGAACUGGUGGGAACAAUAUACACUACAGAAAGUAUAAAGUUGGUACAGGUAUAAUAUGGUAGCAUUAGUAGUGUCACCCCACUCCCUAAAAGUAUCAUAACUCUGGUUUUGAAUAUGUUUAAUGCAGUGGGUUUGUGGUUAACAAUGUGCCAGCUGAUAAUAAUGCUAUUAGUAUAUAGUGCUAAGUUGGUAUAUUGGAGCUGUCUGAUUAAAAGAUUGUUACAGGAGGACUUCUAGAGAGAAAUCAAUUGAUUGAGGUUGUCAAAAAGGUAAUCCAAUUUUAUAAUUGAUUUAACAGUGAUUUAUGUCCCUAGUAACCAGGGCCAUUAGAUCUUCUGGGCAGGUAGUGAUGGAUGAUGAUAAGGACUUAUUGUCCAGAUUUUCGUGGAGGGGUCAAUGUGGCUUGCCUUUUGGGUUGUGGCAUGCUGACCCCUUUUGAGUGGAUUUCUGAAUAAGUUAUGUUUUUGGAUGCCACAUGGGAGCCAUUAAAGCAAUUUUCUCCAUUGCUGACUCCCAUCUGGCAUGCGAAUGACGUUCACUAUCUUGAAGCUACACAAAUUAUUACAUAGAGAUUCCUUUAGUAACGUUAUAAGGUGGUCAAUUUUAUCAUGAUUAUAUGUUUCAUUUGAUUUAUUUUAUUCAUCUGAACUUAACAUAGUUUUUGGAGUAAUUCUCAAGCUCACAGGUAGCUUUGUUUUUCACUUGUUUC